CAGGUAAAGGAUGGACCAUAAGAUCUGGCUAACACAGGAUGGGCAGAGCUCGAGAGACUAGAAGUUGUAAGGAAGGAGCCGCACGUGAGCACUGUGCAAUCAACGCCAGGUAACCUGCGGGGCCCUGUAAUUGCUCUGGAGUUGCCUGGGACUUUGCGAUUCUCGGGACACCCUUCAGGAACUUAGACCUUUCUUUCAGUCUUUCUCCUGUCUGCCUCUCUCUGGGCCUCUCUAGCACACCUGUGCAGGGUAGUUCUUAGGUGUCAUAAAGAUGGGGCUCCCAGGAUGAGCUACCACUGUGGGCAAUUGCUUCUUUCCAUGGACUUGUCUCCUCUUGCCUGGAUUCAGCAGCCUAUCAGGCUGAGUCACAGACAGGGCUGCUGAAGGAACAAAUUGUACUGGCCUUUCCCCAGCAAGACUGCCUCACCCUGAAUUUCAGUAGGUCUUUUAACCCCUCCCAGAAUCUGUAGCCUUCCUGCCCAUUUUCCUGUUGACAAAUUCUGACUACCUGGCAUCCCGAUGCAGAAGGAACAUUCUAGGCCCUGAAGACCUGGGUUUUGUUUUGCCUUUUCACAAGCAAUCCUUAAUACCUCAAUUUUAGAAGUGUACUGUUUUCCUGCUGGAGGGAAGCCGAGUAUUAAAACUCAUUUUAGGUAGUAUGACACACACUGCAUUUAUGCCCAGACCCAACACUGGAUGUAUGUUUGAAUUAUCUGUAAGCUUUUAAACACAAUUCUCAAGUCUGAGCCUUACACAUACAGACCAACUUGUUCGGGGUGGAGGAGGACCCCAACAGCCCAACUGUCAGGGAGACUACUGUGAUCAGUGCUGUGUAGGAGGAGCUGGGAGGAAGGAUGUCACAUUCAAUUCAGAGUCCAUUAGGAUCCAGACGCUCCCCUGCAAUGACUUCCUAAUCCAGACAGCGCAUGCAAGGCUGGGGAGGAGACCCUUCCAUGUCAUUCAGCCGAGAGGGCCACAGACUCAUAGACAAGAGGAGGGCUUCACCCAGGCCGGACACAGACAGAGAACCGUACUCAUGUCUACCUGGCACCCAAAUUAGCGGCAUUAAGAGUUUGGCUUUGCAGAUGGAGAAAACUGAACUCAAGACUUGUUUGCUGGACAGUCCUGAGUGAAUCAUCUCUUCUCUUCCUCAGUGUGACAGAAUGAGAGUUUCUCGUCCGGCUGGUGUGGAGAUGAUUCCCAGCAUCAAACUCUAGAGUGGCCUUCUUUCCAACUCAGCCUCCAGCCAACCCACUUCUCAAUUCUUCAGUGUGGAGCCACGUUGACUCCAGAAUCCUGUCAGAUUUGGGGACUCUUCUGUUAAUAAUGACCUUUUUGGAUUUAUGCCCAGGACUUAGAGAUAUUAUCUUCGGAUCCAGGAAAACUUGCAGGACUUGUGAACGACAGCGGAAGCUGCAAAGUGUGGUGGAGAUCUCUGUCCUGCUGUUUAAGAAGUGGGCCUCCGAGGGUCUGAGCCUAGCCACCUAGAGGAGAGUGGUCUGGCCAUCAUAGAGUUCCUCAUGCCACAUCUCAUAGCUGGGUUAACCUUCAGCGCAUCCUCCAGCAUGCAAGUUGCCUUGCUUUGCAUCCAUUGAACACUCGGAUGGGAUGGGUCUCCUGGGACACACAGUUGACUUUCUGCAGAGCACUUACCUUCUCGUACAUAAAUAUCGGGCAGUGGAAUCGGAGCAUGUGUCCCCUGACUGGAAGCAGUGACAACCACGGCAGCAGGUUUAUUUUUAAAUAAAGAUUGGAAAGUUACAAG
rnacentral:lncRNA from 1 species